rnacentral:rRNA from 1 species
GACGAACGCUGGCGGCGUGCCUAACACAUGCAAGUCGAGCGAUGAAACCCCUUCGGGGGUGGAUUAGCGGCGGACGGGUGAGUAACACGUGGGUAACCUGCCUCAAAGUGGGGGAUAGCCUUCCGAAAGGAAGAUUAAUACCGCAUAAAGCCAAGUUUCACAUGGAAUUUGGAUGAAAGGAGUAAUUCGCUUUGAGAUGGACCCGCGGCGCAUUAGUUAGUUGGUGGGGUAAUGGCCUACCAAGACAGCGAUGCGUAGCCGACCUGAGAGGGUGAUCGGCCACAUUGGAACUGAGAUACGGUCCAGACUCCUACGGGAGGCAGCAGUGGGGAAUAUUGCACAAUGGGCGAAAGCCUGAUGCAGCAACGCCGCGUGAGUGAUGAAGGUCUUCGGAUUGUAAAGCUCUGUCUUUUGGGACGAUAAUGACGGUACCAAAGGAGGAAGCCACGGCUAACUACGUGCCAGCAGCCGCGGUAAUACGUAGGUGGCGAGCGUUGUCCGGAUUUACUGGGCGUAAAGGGUGCGUAGGCGGAUGUUUAAGUGAGAUGUGAAAUACCCGGGCUUAACUUGGGUGCUGCAUUUCAAACUGGAUAUCUAGAGUGCAGGAGAGGAGAAUGGAAUUCCUAGUGUAGCGGUGAAAUGCGUAGAGAUUAGGAAGAACACCAGUGGCGAAGGCGAUUCUCUGGACUGUAACUGACGCUGAGGCACGAAAGCGUGGGUAGCAAACAGGAUUAGAUACCCUGGUAGUCCACGCCGUAAACGAUGAGUACUAGGUGUAGGAGGUAUCGACCCCUUCUGUGCCGCAGUAAACACAUUAAGUAUUCCACCUGGGGAGUACGUUCGCAAGAAUGAAACUCAAAGGAAUUGACGGGGACCCGCACAAGCGGUGGAGCAUGUGGUUUAAUUCGAAGCAACGCGAAGAACCUUACCUAGUCUUGACAUCCCAUUGACCGCAGAGUAAUGUCUGCUUCCCUUCGGGGCAAUGGAGACAGGUGGUGCAUGGUUGUCGUCAGCUCGUGUCGUGAGAUGUUGGGUUAAGUCCCGCAACGAGCGCAACCCUUAUCUUUAGUAGCCAGCAUUUAAGGUGGGCACUCUAGAGAGACUGCCAGGGAUAACCUGGAGGAAGGUGGGGAUGACGUCAAAUCAUCAUGCCCCUUAUGACUAGGGCUACACACGUGCUACAAUGGUGACAACAAAGAGAAGCAACCCUGCGAAGGUGAGCAAAUCUCAAAAAAGUCAUCUCAGUUCGGAUUGUAGUCUGCAACUCGACUACAUGAAGCUGGAAUCGCUAGUAAUCGCGAAUCAGAAUGUCGCGGUGAAUACGUUCCCGGGUCUUGUACACACCGCCCGUCACACCAUGGGAGUUGGAAAUGCCCGAAGUCAGUGACCCAACCGUAAGGAGGGAGCUGCCGAAGGUGGAGCCAAUGACUGGGGUG